CUAUGCCUGUGUGGCUUCUGCUAUAUUAGUGAAUACCCAGAUGCUUGAGCUGGCUGUGGCCUGAGGGCUCUAGUCUGUGCUCCAGAGUGGGGUCAGCCCCUGCAACCAUCCCACCAGGACAGAGAAGUGGGAGAGAGAAAAUGCUGGUUACUACUUUGCCAGAAGAAUGGACUUUGCCAGCAGCCCCUCAGCAAGAUCACCAUCCUUCUGCCAAUCCCUUUGUCUCCUCAUACAGGCACCCAGAGGACACUGGUUAACUUUGGCCCAAGAGUAAAUGAGCUUUCAAAACCAGAGAGCCUCCUACUAAGAAAAUCCUAUGGACCUCCUCUCACACAGUUGUCUGCUAUAGCACUGAGGCCUCAGGCAUGGAGAAUUAAAGGAUGUACUUAGAAAGUACCAAGUGUGUGUGCAGCCCUUUCACUUCAUACCCACUCUGUGAGAAGGCACCAGAAAGGGAAUGGAAAACAAAGCCUGCCCAGAAAGGAAAAUAAGUCAAGUCUUUGCCCUCCUAAUGAUCUUGGAACCAUCUUGGAAAUAGUACAAAGAAGACAAAACUGAAGCUACACCAAAGUCAAAUUUAAGGUGGCUUUAAACCUCACUAAAAAGAAGAGAAUGUGUUGUGUCAUAAUUUUGCUCAAAUAAAUGGAUAGACAUAAUGGAUUUCUCCUAUUAUUUUUUCACACUUGAUGUUAUAGUUAGUUCUAAGUCCAUUUCUAAGUAAUUUAGCCUUUAUUUGUUAAGUAUAAGUUAACUAUUCAGUUGAGAUGAUAAAGCAGAUUUUGUGGAAUAUAGUAUUACAUGACAGAAACUUAUAUCUAAAAUGACUAUUAUAGGCUAUUUCUGAAGGAAAGUCAAAUUUACACCUUGUGGUGCAAUCCCCCUAGAAAAGUAAUAUACAUAGGAGAGCUCAUAUCAAGCUAUUACUUUAGCCCUGAUAGUAUAAACCCAUAUUAUCACUCAUGAAACUUGUGACCAUUUUGUUUCAAUGAUAGCAAAAUCACACCAAAUAAAAAAGCAUUAUUUUUUUGAAAUUUUAUAGAAGUUACACAAAUUUCAUGCAUUUCAUAUGUACAGAUUUAGGAACAUAGUGAUAACGUCCCAUGCAAACCUCCUAAUACCCAAGACCAACCCUUCUUCUUCCUCCCUCUUCCAUCCCCAUUCUUAAUUUUUACAAACAUCUACUUUCAGUUUACUUAGUUAUCAUAAGUUGUAGCCUUCAUUAAGUAGAAAUUAAUGAUAAUCAGUUUAAUUUCUAAUAAGUUUGUAUCUUUUAACUGCACAGUUGAGGUCAUUUACAUUCAAGGUGAGUGAUGAUAAAUAAUGACUUGCCCUUCCAUUUUUUGAUAAAUAUUCCUAUUGUUAAAUUUGGAUUUCUUUUGUACUUCUACUAGGGGAUUUUCUGCCAUCUCAUUCUUUCACAAUUAUGGAUA